GUUGUAUGGUUAAGUGACUAAGCGUACACGGUGGAUGCCUUGGCAGUCAGAGGCGAUGAAAGACGUAGUAACUUGCGAUAAGCCCAGAUUAGGUAGUAACUUCAGUGAAAUCGAGUAGGGCGGGACACGUGAUAUCCUGUCUGAAUAUGGGGGGACCAUCCUCCAAGGCUAAAUACUACUGACUGACCGAUAGUGAACCAGUACCGUGAGGGAAAGGCGAAAAGAACCCCUGUGAGGGGAGUGAAAUAGAACCUGAAACCGUGUACGUACAAGCAGUAGGAGCAGGCUUGUCCUGUGACUGCGUACCUUUUGUAUAAUGGGUCAGCGACUUAUAUUCAGUGGCAAGGUUAACCAUCUAGGGGAGCCGUAGGGAAACCGAGUCUUAACUGGGCGUUCAGUCUCUGGAUAUAGACCCGAAACCAGGUGAUCUAGCCAUGGGCAGGUUGAAGGUUGAGUAACAUCAACUGGAGGACCGAACCGACUAAUGUUGAAAAAUUAGCGGAUGACUUGUGGCUAGGGGUGAAAGGCCAAUCAAACCUGGAGAUAGCUGGUUCUCCCCGAAAGCUAUUUAGGUAGCGCCUCGGACGAAUACUACUGGGGGUAGAGCACUGUUAAGGCUAGGGGGUCAUCCCGACUUACCAACCCUUUGCAAACUCCGAAUACCAGUAAGUACUAUCCGGGAGACACACGGCGGGUGCUAACGUCCGUCGUGGAGAGGGAAACAACCCAGACCGCCAGCUAAGGUCCCAAAUUACUACUAAGUGGGAAACGAUGUGGGAAGGCUCAGACAGCCAGGAUGUUGGCUUAGAAGCAGCCAUCAUUUAAAGAAAGCGUAAUAGCUCACUGGUCGAGUCGGCCUGCGCGGAAGAUGUAACGGGGCUAAGUAGUAAACCGAAGCUGCGGCAAURURCUUUUGYAYAUUGGGUAGGGGAGCGUUCUGUAAGCGGUUGAAGGUGUGUGGUAACGCAUGCUGGACGUAUCAGAAGUGCGAAUGCUGACAUGAGUAACGAUAAAGGGGGUGAAAAACCUCCUCGCCGGAAGACCAAGGGUUCCUGUCCAACGUUAAUCGGGGCAGGGUAAGUCGACCCCUAAGGCGAGGCCGAAAGGCGUAGUCGAUGGGAAACGGGUUAAUAUUCCCGUACUUCUUACAAUUGCGAUGGGGGGACGGAGAAGGCUAGGUGGGCCUGGCGACGGUUGUCCAGGUUCAAGUGCGUAGGCUUAAGAGUUAGGUAAAUCCGGCUCUUUUUAAGGCUGAGACACGACGUCGAGCUACUACGGUAGUGAAGUCAUUGAUGCCAUGCUUCCAGGAAAAGCCUCUAAGCUUCAGAUUGUAAGGAAUCGUACCCCAAACCGACACAGGUGGUCGGGUAGAGAAUACCAAGGCGCUUGAGAGAACUCGGGUGAAGGAACUAGGCAAAAUGGUACCGUAACUUCGGGAGAAGGUACGCUCUYGAYGGUGAAGUCCCUCGCGGAUGGAGCURWYGAGAGUCGCAGAUACCAGGUGGCUGCAACUGUUUAUUAAAAACACAGCACUGUGCAAAAUCGUAAGAUGACGUAUACGGUGUGACGCCUGCCCGGUGCCGGAAGGUUAAUUGAUGGGGUUAGACUUCGGUCGAAGCUCUUGAUCGAAGCCCCGGUAAACGGCGGCCGUAACUAUAACGGUCCUAAGGUAGCGAAAUUCCUUGUCGGGUAAGUUCCGACCUGCACGAAUGGCGUAAUGAUGGCCACGCUGUCUCCACCCGAGACUCAGUGAAAUUGAAAUCGCUGUGAAGAUGCAGUGUACCCGCGGCUAGACGGAAAGACCCCGUGAACCUUUACUACAGCUUGGCACUGAACAUUGACCCUACAUGUGUAGGAUAGGUGGGAGGCUUUGAAGCACGUACGCCAGUAUGUGUGGAGCCGUCCUUGAAAUACCACCCUUGUAGUGUUGAUGUUCUAACGUCGACCCCUUAUCGGGGUUGCGGACAGUGCCUGGUGGGUAGUUUGACUGGGGCGGUCUCCUCCCAAAGAGUAACGGAGGAGCACGAAGGUGGGCUAAUCACGGUUGGACAUCGUGAGGUUAGUGCAAUGGCAUAAGCCCGCUUGACUGCGAGAAUGACAAUUCGAGCAGGUGCGAAAGCAGGUCAUAGUGAUCCGGUGGUUCUGAAUGGAAGGGCCAUCGCUCAACGGAUAAAAGGUACUCCGGGGAUAACAGGCUGAUACAGAUUGAAGGGGGCUGCUCCUAGUACGAGAGGACCGGAGUGGACGAACCUCUGGUGUUCGGGUUGUGUCGCCAGACGCAUUGCCCGGUAGCUAAGUUCGGAAUCGAUAACCGCUGAAAGCAUCUAAGCGGGAAGCGAGCCCUGAGAUGAGUCUUCCCUGAUACUUUAAGUAUCCUAAAGGGUUGUCGGAGACUACGACGUUGAUAGGUCAGGUGUGUAAGUGCUGUGAGGCAUUGAGCUAACUGAUACUAAUUGCCCGUGAGGCUUAACCAUACAACACCCAAGGGGUUU
rnacentral:rRNA from 1 species